GGGGGAUAACCCGGAGAAAUCCGGACUAAUACCCCAUAAUAUGGGCGCUCCGCAUGGAGAGCCCAUUAAAGAGAGCAAUUUUGGUUACAGACGAGCAUGCGCUCCAUUAGCCAGUUGGCGGGGUAACGGCCCACCAAAGCGACGAUGGAUAGGGGUUCUGAGAGGAAGGUCCCCCACAUUGGAACUGAGACACGGUCCAA
rnacentral:rRNA from 1 species